rnacentral:lncRNA from 1 species
CGGCUGAGAGAUGUAGAUAUAGCGAUGGAAUGGGAGAGAAAGUAUAGCGAUGGAUCAUGAGAGAACCUGAUUAUUCUCUUCUUCCGUCGGUCGAUCGACCAACGCCUCAAAAGAUUGAUCCUCACACUAAACAUGAAACUUCUCACUCUUUUAUUUGUAGUAUAUGAUAUGAGAGAUCUGAUAAUACAUAGAUCCAAGUGACAAGCAUAUCCUUUGUCCAGGCAGGAGCAGGAGAGCAUUAAUUAUUCACUAUAUCAAACUAUAUUUAUUUCUAGCUGUGGAAGAAACACUGCUUGCAUUGAUACUACAAUACGGGAAAACGCUAGUAUACUUAAAAGUUAAAACUGCUCACACUUCUCAGCCGCAAGUGAUACGAUGAACAUAUCAUAUCUCAUCAUGGGGCAUAAGGCGGCGGGCAAUAAUAUUGGGAGCCGUAGCACCCAUACGUCGGUAUUUGUAGCAAAACCCUAGCGGCCGAGGCCAUGAAGGGCGCCUCCUCGUGCAGCGCCGCCAACACCAUCAGCAUCAGGAGGAGGAGCACCAGCUGCCGGCAGCCGCCGGGGAUGCUCCUGAGCGCCUCCGCCAUCGCCGACCGAUCAAUCAAUCACACCCGCCCAGCUACCCGGCUGGCUUCCUAGCUACUUAAUGUUGCUGAGUUGCUUAAUUUUGUGCAGGUUUUAUAGCCAGCGGCAGAGCUAUAUAGCACUGUUGGUCAGGUCAUAUGACCCCGACGAAAUUUCUAAAUUUUCUAGUAGGAAGCUGGGUUUAAAUCCAUGGUUCAUCGUGCUAUACGAUAGAGA